CUCAAAUUCACUCUAUCAAUACAGAGACGCACAUCUUCCCGCCAUUAGACGGAAGAACUCCCGCGAAAAAAAAGAACCAUUCAUCGACAUCGAUUCACACAAAUGUCAGGAUCCUUUCGUACCUAUGGGAGUCAGCAAGUUCCAUCUGGAAGCAAAGAUAGAACUCGUCGUGCGUGGAGCGACAAAGAGGAAAUGUUCUUGAUUGGGAUAAUGAAGGAGUUGGUAGCUACUGGCUGGAAGUCCGAUAACGGCUUCAGAUUUGGGUAUCUGAUGAAAGCAGAAGAGUCAAUGCGCCGAGAGUUUCCGGGGACUGAUUUGAAGGCCAACCCUCAUAUCUAAUCGAGAAUUCACACCUUGAAGAAGAGUUUCUAUGCUCUGUCAAAAAUAUUAGAUUGAAGUGGUGUGGGGUUCAAUGUUCACGGUGACUAUAAGAUCGACGUAAGCGACGAUCAAUGGAGCCAAAUUGUUAAGGUACUUGUAGACUCCAUACAUAUCUCUUGAACUAUAUACUAUCACAGUUUCGCGAUUGUAUCUAGCAUCAUUAAUACAGGCUGAUGGGGCUGGCCAUGGACUACGUACUAAGUCGUGGCCAUAUUAUGAGGACUGGAAGUGGAUCUUUGGUAUGGAUAGGGCGAGUGGAAUAACAGCGGAAGACAUGCUUGAUGCUUACAAUGAACUCGAUCCGAUUGAGCAAGUGGCAACUAAUGGAGCUAGCCUUGAUUACGACUUUGGUCUCCAUGACUUCCUUGGAGGUGAUGCAGGGUUGAACAGGGACUCCCCUCCUGUGAUGAGUGACAAUGGAUUCUCUCGUGGGCGUGAGAUACCUCCUGUGAUGACUAAUAGUGGAUUCUCUCGUUCGCGUGAGACACCACCAACUGACCACAACACAAAUAAUCAAACUCAAGAAUUUGUCAUAA